UACGUAGGGACCGAGCGUUGUCCGGAUUCAUUGGGCGUAAAGAGCUCGUAGGCGGCUGCUCAAGUCGAAUGUGAAAACUCGAGGCUCAACCUCGAGCCUGCAUUCGAUACUGGGCGGCUAGAGUCUGGUAGGGGGAUCUGGAAUUCCUGGUGUAGCGGUGGAAUGCGCAGAUAUCAGGAGGAACACCGGUGGCGAAGGCGGUCUGCUGGGCAGUUUCUGACACUGAUGCGCGACAGCGUGGGGAGCAAACAGG
rnacentral:rRNA from 1 species